GGAGAGGUGCCUGAGCGGUUGAAAGGGGCACCCUGCUAAGGUGUUAUCCGGGAAACUGGAUCGAGGGUUCGAAUCCCUCCCUCUCCG
rnacentral:tRNA from 1 species